rnacentral:rRNA from 1 species
AGCGUUAUCCGGAAUCAUUGGGCGUGAAGCGUCUGUAGGUUGUUUAAUAAGUCUGUUGUUAAAGACUAGGGCUUAACCCUAGAGAAGCAAUGGAAACUACUAGACUUGAGUAUGGCAGGGGUAGAGGGAAUUUCUAGUGUAGCGGUGAAAUGCGUAGAUAUUAGAAAGAACACCGGUGGCGAAAGCGCUCUACUGGACCAUUACUGACACUCAGAGACGAAAGCUAGGGUAGCAAAAGGGAUUAGAUACCCCUGUAGUCCUAGCCGUAAACGAUGGAUACUAGAUGUUGUGUUUAAUAUGCAGUAUCGUAGCUAACGCGUUAAGUAUCCCGCCUGGGGAGUACGCUCGCAAGGGUGAAACUCAAAGGAAUUGACGGGGGCCCGCACAAGCGGUGGAGCAUGUGGUUUAAUUCGAUGCAACGCGAAGAACCUUACCAGGACUUGACAUACUACAAAUUUCUUUGAAAAAAGGAAGUGCCUUCGGGAAUGUAGAUACAGGUGGUGCAUGGCUGUCGUCAGCUCGUGUCGUGAGAUGUUGGGUUAAGUCCCGCAACGAGCGCAACCCUUAUUUUUAGUUACUAAUUAAUUAGGUUUUCUAGAAAGACUGCCGGUGACAAACCGGAGGAAGGUGAGGAUGACGUCAAGUCAGCAUGCCCCUUAUGUCCUGGGCUACACACGUGCUACAAUGGUUAAAACAAAGGGUCGCGAGCUUGUGAGAGUCAGCUAAUCCCAUAAAUUUAGCCUAAGUUCAGAUUGUAGGCUGCA